UGGGGAAUCUUGCACAAUGGGGGCAACCCUGAUGCAGCGACGCCGCGUGAGCGAUGAAGCCCUUCGGGGUGUAAAGCUCUUUCGUCAGGGAAGAUAGUGACGGUACCUGGAGAAGCAGCUGCGGCUAACUACGUGCCAGCAGCCGCGGUAAUACGUAGGCAGCGAGCGUUGUUCGGAGUUACUGGGCGUAAAGGGCGCGUAGGCGGUGCCAUAAGUCACUUGUGAAAUCUCCUGGCUCAACUGGGAGCUUGCAGGCGAAACUGUGGUGCUGGAGUGUGGGAGAGGGGAGUGGAGUUCCCGGUGUAGCGGUGAAAUGCGUAGAGAUCGGGAGGAACACCAGCGACGAAGGUGGCUCCCUGGACCAUUACCGACGCUGAGGCGCGAAAGCUAGGGGAGCAAACAGGAUUAGAUACCCUGGUAGUCCACGCCCUAAACGAUGCAUACUUGGUGUGAGCGAUUCAUUUCGUUCGUGCCGGAGCUAACGCGUUAAGUAUGCCGCCUGGGGAGUACGGUCGCAAGGCUG
rnacentral:rRNA from 1 species